GCCUUCGGGUUGUAAACCUCUUUUAGUAGGGAAGAAGCGAAAGUGACGGUACCUGCAGAAAAAGCACCGGCUAACUACGUGCCAGCAGCCGCGGUAAUACGUAGGGUGCAAGCGUUGUCCGGAAUUAUUGGGCGUAAAGAGCUCGUAGGCGGUUUGUCGCGUCUGCUGUGAAAUCCCGAGGCUCAACCUCGGGUCUGCAGUGGGUACGGGCAGACUAGAGUGCGGUAGGGGAGAUUGGAAUUCCUGGUGUAGCGGUGGAAUGCGCAGAUAUCAGGAGGAACACCGAUGGCGAAGGCAGAUCUCUGGGCCGUAACUGACGCUGAGGAGCGAAAGCAUGGGGAGCGAACAGGAUUAGAUACCCUGGUAGUCCAUGCCGUAAACGUUGGGAACUAGAUGUGGGGACCAUUCCACGGUCUCCGUGUCGCAGCUAACGCAUUAAGUUCCCCGCCUGGGGAGUACGGCCGCAAGGCUAAAACUCAAAGGAAUUGACGGGGGCCCGCACAAGCGGCGGAGCAUGCGGAUUAAUUCGAUGCAACGCGAAGAACCUUACCAAGGCUUGACAUAUACCGGAAACAUGCAGAAAUGUGUGCCCCGCAAGGUCGGUAUACAGGUGGUGCAUGGUUGUCGUCAGCUCGUGUCGUGAGAUGUUGGGUUAAGUCCCGCAACGAGCGCAACCCUCGUUCUAUGUUGCCAGCACGUAAUGGUGGGAACUCAUAGGAGACUGCCGGGGUCAACUCGGAGGAAGGUGGGGAUGACGUCAAAUCAUCAUGCCCCUUAUGUCUUGGGCUUCACGCAUGCUACAAUGG
rnacentral:rRNA from 1 species